GAGAGUUAAACAGUACGUGAAAUUGUUGAAAGGGAAACGAUUGAAGCCAGUCGUACCUUCGGGUAAUCAGCCUUUCGGGUGCGAUUCUGUGGAGUUUGAGGAGCUUAACACCUUCAUGCUUUUGCAUAUUCGUGCUCUUGGGUGUACUUGCCCGUGUGGUUGGUUAACAUCAAUUUCGGGCACCAUAAAAUGGCUGGAGGAAUGUAGCUUCGAUCUUGUAUUGAAGUGUUAUAGCCUUCGGUAGAUGUGGUGAUCGAGAUUGAGGAUUGCAACGGAUACCUUUCGGGGCUACCUGUCUGAUCUCUGAUCGUUGCUUUGGUGCUGAAAGCGUGCUUAUAGUUAUUAAAGUCGAUGGUCAAUAGGUUAGAAUGGGUUAAAUUCGUUAAGGAUGUUGACGUAAUGGCUUUAAACGA
rnacentral:rRNA from 1 species